CCACAGAUUUUUUUUAAAAUCACAACUGAAAAAAAAAAAAGAAGUGU
rfam:Dipodomys ordii contig_21587, whole genome shotgun sequence.